UCUAGAUCAGCCAUAUAUUUGUAAUAUUUUUACGUAACAAAUACCACGAUCGAGACAUGAGACACAUAGAGAAACCAGUCAAUCAAUCCUUCUAAUAUUAUACAUCUUCUUUCCUUCAGAUAAAUCAAUUUUUUGUCGACGAUUCUGCUCUUCCUUAAUCUGGUAGCCUGUCCUUUAAUAUAAAGUCUAACUUAUAGUAGUAAUUUUAUUCUUUUGAGACUUAUUUUUACAAAUGGAAAUAUAUAUAAAACAAGCGGAGUUUUCGUAUAUAUAACACCCACAUUCGUAUAUAACUCCCAAACAGUGGCAGUAAUAUUAUAUUAUAUUAUGGGCAUUCUCCUGUGUCCCUUUAUCAACACUUUUGUAACUUGAUCUGUAUUUGUUCAAAUUUAUCUUCGUAUCUUAUAUUUUCUUUUUAAUUCUGGUGUUGAAAGACUUUAAAAAUAGUCGUAUUAAAAAUUAGAUACUGUAACUUAUAAAUAUAAUGAGCCCUAUAAAGAGCAAAACUUUUAUACAGGACAAAACAAGUUUGGUAUCUCAAUCCAACAGUUGCUUCAAGUCGGCCCAAUAGCCCUGACCCGCCUGGGUCAGAGUAAAACAGCUUCCAGCGAGAAGGGAAAACCAAAGCAAAUUUCAUAUUUCAAAAUGAAAAAGACCGUGAUCAAAAAUGAUCUUUAUAUAGGCAAACAUUUUUAUCGCAAAUAUGUGAAAAAAAAUCAACUAAUUCCAUAAAACAACAA